GGGAGUAUGGCUCAGUUGGUAGAGCAAUUGACUGUUAAUCAAUGGGUCACAGGUUCGAGCCCUGUUAUUCCCGCCA
rnacentral:tRNA from 1 species